CACGUAGGGGGCAAGCGUUGUCCGGAUUUAUUGGGCGUAAAGAGCUCGUAGGCGGUUCGGUAAGUCGGGUGUGAAACCUCCAGGCUCAACCUGGAGACGCCACCCGAUACUGCUGUGACUAGAGUCCGGUAGGGGAGCGUGGAAUUCCUGGUGUAGCGGUGAAAUGCGCAGAUAUCAGGAGGAACACCGGUGGUGUAGACGGCUCACUGGACCGUAACUGACGCUGAGACACGAAAGCGUGGGUAGCAAACAGG
rnacentral:rRNA from 1 species